CAGUAGUUAAGCGUCUGCCUUCGGCUCAGGUAGGUGUGGACAGACCAGAAACGCUGGGAACCAGAAAAGCGGCCAAGACCCAACUGCGUUCCGGGCACCGUUAGAAAGCACCUCGGUGUCACCACAAGUGACACUCAGGACUGAGACACGCCCUGCCUGGACUGCGGCGAAGGGAAUUGCUGGUCUGAGUUGUUCUGAUUCGCUGUUGUUAAAAGGGACAAAUGAGGCCACCGCUCUAUACCUGCAACUCGAGUUCAAAGUUCAAAUCUGAAAAAAAGUUCAUACCUGGUCACCUCAGACUGAAUCCUUAUCAGAAAGGACUACAGUGGGGCACAAGAGAAAGAAGCAAAGUAACUCCAGAACCUGUCUGUCAACACCAGUGACCAUUGUGGAACUGGGAUCUGAUACAGAACAUCAAAACGUCAUGCCCUGCUUCCUGAGCCUUUUCCCAAGAGUCCUUCAUGAGCUGUAGACAAGAUAAUUCCUUUUACUGGAAAAACAUCUCCAAAUGAUCUACAUAUCAGAGGCCACAGUCUCUGUGAAGGUAGUUUGAAUUGGGCUGCUGAUAAUCUACCAGUCUUUCAGCAUCACAUAAAAACAAUUGGGAAAUUUCUGUGCAUACUCUUCUCUGCCAUAUUUAAGUGUGAGGCCAUCAGAAUCCUGUAGAAGCUUUGACUCAGCCUCUGAACAUCUUUAUAGGGUACAAGGAAUACUGGCAAUCUCACCAUCACCAGCUGACUUGUCACUGACAUUAGGAAAUUCCAAGCUGUGGAGCAAAACGACAGAGGCACCAAAUGUAUCAUGGGAUAGGGAAUUGUGUUUCUCAAUCACUGAGUAGGGAGUGGUUGGGAGCAAGGCCUUCGCUGCCAAGAGAGUUCCUGACUGCUGAAUUCAGUCCUUCUACUGCCUGAAAUGUCUCCCAGCUGGUUGGAUGGGUCGUUUUGAAAGAACUCUGCUGAAACCCAAGUCACUCACUGCUUACGUUAGAUUUUAGGCGUUGGGAUUGUACUACUACUUUCAGUUAUGUUCCUUGGCAUUUAAGCCAUGAAGACAGUCCAUUUGUUGAGGUUCUUAAAAGUUGUAAAAUCCGUGAUUUGAUUUCCAAAGCUAUUGGUCUGUCCUGUCACCACUCUAUUGGGAAAUGUUCCCCCAGAAAUUGUAUUAAUACUCUUCACUAAUAGGGGCAUCAUAUUCUUUGGGGAUAUGGGUGAUGAAGAAAGGCUAAAAACAUAUGGAAAAUGUAAAACCAUACUAUUUCAUUGGAACUAUUAAAUCAUAUUUUUAUUUCAGCAUUUAAAAAAUAAAUAACACAAAAAAUAGAGAUUUAUAUUCAUUCAUUCACGUAUUCACUAUGUCUGAGUUCCUACAAUGUGCCGGGCACUGUUUCAGUCACUGGAAUAUUUUAGGAGAAAAAACAAAGUCUCUGUUCCCAGGAGCUGACAUCCUAGUAAGGAAGGAGACAGCAAGCCAACUAAACACAUAAAAGUAUAUAUAGCUUAUCAGGUGGUAAUUGAGUGUUGGGAAGAAAAGUAGAAGAAGGAAAAGGAGCAGAUGGUGGGGACAGGGAUGCUGUUUCGGCUCAGGUGGCCAGGGAAGUGACAUUUGAGUAAACAAUCUGAGUCAAAUAAAAGAGUAACUGGGGGAGGAUCUUCUAAGCUGAUGGAAUAAUGGCCCCUGUGAAAGUCUGAGGUGAACACAUGAUUGCCACGCCCAGGGAACAUGGGAAGGAGGCCUGUGCCUGUGUUCUCUAGAGCAGAGUGACUGAAAGGGAGAGGGAGGAAAUGGGUUUGGACACAGAGAGGAGAAGAGCUCUUUAGGUCACAUUAUGGGUCAUGGGAUUUGGAUUUUACUCUGAAUUGGCUGAAAAUGUAUUAGAAAGCUUUGAGAGUGUGUCAAGAUAAUAGGUUAAAGCAUCUCUCUGGCCACUGUGUAGGUAGCAGAAUGGCAUGGGGGUAGGUGUGGAGUGAAAGCAGGAAAACCAGUUCGGAAGCUUGCAAUACCCUAGGAGAAAAUAAAUAAAUGUGGUUGAUACAAAGCUUGGCACAUGGUGUCAUUCGACAAGUACUUGUUGAAGGAGUAAAUGGACGAGAAAGUAAAACGAAGCUUCAUAAGUUAUUCGUCUCCUAAAGAUUCAUUCAAUUCAUUCUGUCUCUAAACAUAUGUUUUACAUGCGUAU